rnacentral:tRNA from 1 species
GGGGGUGUAGCUCAGUUGGUUAGAGUGCCGGCUUGUCACGCCGAAGGUCGCGGGUUCGAGUCCCGUCACUCCCGCCA